GCUUGAUUCAAAUUUUGCCUUCUCCUUUGUAAGAUUUUGAAUUAAAUCAGAUGUUUUUUAUGAGUUCUUGAUCAGCCAUUGUGGUUUUUUAAGAUUCAUGUUCAAAAAUUCAUGUUUCUAUUCAAUCUCUUGGUAGAUUGAAACCGGCCAGCAGUUAUAGCUUUGUUCUUGAAGAUUCAAGUUUUCUUCAAGCUCUUUUUUACCUGUUUAUCACUGUAUUCAGGCAUUAUUACAUACAUCCUAUACUGAAUUUCAAAGUUCUUUGCAAGAGUUAAAGAUUCAUCUGCUUAGUUCUUCAGUUCUAGCCUUCUCGAUGAGAGUUUCUCUACAUUUUGGCAGCAUAUUUGGUUUUCGUCCUGCGGUCCUUGCUUGUUCUUCAAGUUCACCCUGCUCGAUCCAAGCUGCAAAUGGGUAACAAGAAGCACGAGGGUUUGAAGGUCCAUCUUCCUUCCAAAACAUAGGUGAAGUUCAACCAUGUGAUAUCAAUAUGUCUACAGAUGUUGUCCCUGAUGCGAAAACCUCAAAGGGUGCUCCUCGUGUACAAGGUACUGAAUUUGAAGCUUCCUCCCCACAUAAUGCUGCUCAACUUUCUGCAAAGGCUUUUCGGGAGGAAUUUCAUUUUGAAAAUGUUGGGAAUCUACUUAUACAUGCACAGCGG
rnacentral:lncRNA from 1 species